rnacentral:rRNA from 1 species
AUUGAACGCUGGCGGCAUGCUUUACACAUGCAAGUCGAACGGCAGCACGGGGGCAACCCUGGUGGCGAGUGGCGAACGGGUGAGUAAUACAUAGGAACGUAUCCUGAAAUGGGGGAUAGCUCGGCGAAAGCCGGAUUAAUACCGCAUACGAUCCACGGAUGAAAGCAGGGGAUUCGCAAGAACCUUGCGUUUCUGGAGCGGCCUAUGUCUGAUUAGCUAGUUGGCGGGGUAAAAGCCCACCAAGGCGACGAUCAGUAGCUGGUCUGAGAGGAUGAUCAGCCACACUGGGACUGAGACACGGCCCAGACUCCUACGGGAGGCAGCAGUGGGGAAUUUUGGACAAUGGGGGCAACCCUGAUCCAGCCAUGCCGCGCGAGUGAAGAAGG